rnacentral:rRNA from 1 species
AACAAACGCUGGCGGCGUGCCUAAUACAUGCAAGUCGAACGGGGAAAGCUUUCGGGUGAGUACUAGUGGCGCACGGGUGAGGAACGCGUGGAUAAUCUGCCUUAGAGUGGGGGAUAACUAGUCGAAAGAUUAGCUAAUACCGCAUAAGACCACGAGAGCUGCGGCUUUUGAGGUCAAAGGUUUUUCGCUCUAAGAUGAGUCCGCGUAAGAUUAGCUAGUUGGUGAGGUAACGGCUCACCAAGGCGACGAUCUUUAACUGGUCUGAGAGGAUGAUCAGUCACACUGGAACUGAGACACGGUCCAGACUCCUACGGGAGGCAGCAGUAGGGAAUAUUGCACAAUGGAGGAAACUCUGAUGCAGCGACGCCGCGUGAGUGAUGAAGGCCUUCGGGUCGUAAAGCUCUGUCGCAGGGGAAUAACACAAUGAAGGUACCCUGUAAGAAAGGAUCGGCUAACCUCGUG